UACGUAGGGUGCGAGCGUUAAUCGGAAUUACUGGGCGUAAAGGGCGCGUAGGCGGCCGUUUGCGUCGGAUGUGAAAGCCCGGGGCUCAACCUCGGAACGGCAUUCGAUACGGGACGGCUGGAGACCGGGAGAGGGAUGCGGAAUUCCAGGUGUAGCGGUGAAAUGCGUAGAUAUCUGGAGGAACACCGGUGGCGAAGGCGGCAUCCUGGACCAAUUCUGACGCUGAUGAGCGAAAGCCAGGGGAGCAAACGGG
rnacentral:rRNA from 1 species